AACGAACGCUGGCGGCAUGCCUAACACAUGCAAGUCGAACGAGACCUUCGGGUCUAGUGGCGCACGGGUGCGUAACGCGUGGGAACCUGCCCUUAGGUUCGGAAUAACUCCCCGAAAGGGGUGCUAAUACCGGAUAAUGUCUUCGGACCAAAGAUUUAUCGCCUUUGGAUGGGCCCGCGUUGGAUUAGCUAGUUGGUAGGGUAAAAGCCUACCAAGGCGACGAUCCAUAGCUGGUCUGAGAGGAUGAUCAGCCACACUGGGACUGAGACACGGCCCAGACUCUUACGGGAGGCAGCAGUGGGGAAUAUUGGACAAUGGGCGAAAGCCUGAUCCAGCAAUGCCGCGUGAGUGAUGAAGGCCUUAGGGUUGUAAAGCUCUUUUACCCGGGAUGAUAAUGACAGUACCGUGAGAAUAAGCUCCGGCUAACUCCGUG
rnacentral:rRNA from 1 species